UUCAUAAUGUAAGUCAUUCUAGCAUUUCUCAUUAUCUAGAUUCAUUAACACCAAUAUAAACGUGAGAAAUGCUAUAAUGACUUACAUUGU
rnacentral:misc_RNA from 1 species